rnacentral:rRNA from 1 species
AAUAGAUACCCUGGUAGUCCACCCCGUAAACGUUGGGAACUAGUUGUGGGGUCCAUUCCACGGAUUCCGUGACGCAGCUAACGCAUUAAGUUCCCCGCCUGGGGAGUACGGCCGCAAGGCUAAAACUCAAAGGAAUUGACGGGGACCCGCACAAGCGGCGGAGCAUGCGGAUUAAUUCGAUGCAACGCGAAGAACCUUACCAAGGCUUGACAUAUACGAGAACGCUGCAGAAAUGUAGAACUCUUUGGACACUCGUAAACAGGUGGUGCAUGGUUGUCGUCAGCUCGUGUCGUGAGAUGUUGGGUUAAGUCCCGCAACGAGCGCAACCCUCGUCCUAUGUUGCCAGCACGUAAUGGUGGGAACUCAUGGGAUACUGCCGGGGUCAACUCGGAGGAAGGUGGGGAUGACGUCAAAUCAUCAUGCCCCUUAUGUCUUGGGCUUCACGCAUGCUACAAUGGCCGGUACAAAGGGCUGCAAUACCGUAAGGUGGAGCGAAUCCCAAAAAGCCGGUCCAGUUCGGAUUGAGGUCUGCAACUCGA